AAAAUUUGUGCAUAGUUGAAGAGCAGCCGAUGGUCUUCUGGGCAGAUUUUACGAUUCUCUGGAGAGUCUUCCUCUGUGCUGCUGUGCAGCUGGAGAACCACACACAGAGACAAUAGCAGAUGAUGCUUUCAAUAGAACAUCGUUAGAAGGACACCAGUAGUUUUUGAGAAAUACUGAUCCUCCUCAGGACUCUCAGAAAAUAGUCUCUGCUGGGCCUUCUUUGCAAGUUCUGCUGUGUUUACAUCCCAGGCCAGGUUAUCCAUGAGGUGAACUUCCAGGAAACGGAAGUUUGACAACCUCUCCACCGGCUCUCUGCAAAUUUUUAGUGGUUGAAUGUCUCUUUUAAUUCUCCUAAAAUCCACUAUGAUCUCCUUGGUCUUGGCUGUGUUUCGGAUCAGGUUGUUGUCUGUACACCAUGCUGUCAGUCGCUUCACUCGUUCCUAUAGACACACUCAGGGGCGCAACUACAUACUUUCUGAGGUGUAUGCGAACAUAUCACCGGCGCUCCCCUGUCUCCCCAGGUUUAAUAUGUCUAUAUAGCUCUCCCUUAUUCAUGCACUUAAAAAAUACAGUAAUUAAAUUAAAACCAUGAUGGUAUUUAGGUUUGUAUUGCCUCCCUAAUGUUAUUAUUCUGUCUGAUGUGUGAAUAAAUUACAGACUAUUAAAAAAGAAUAAAAAAAGGCUAA